rnacentral:misc_RNA from 1 species
UGAUACCUCUUCCUGAAUAUGCCGCGUGCAGCUCACCAGGCACACGCGUCGAGAAGCAUCAGCGUUGCCUCUUCUUCCUCAUCUACGCAGUCUUCCAGCAACGAGCUCGACAGCCACCGGGCUAAGGCGAAGCGUGAACUUGCUUCUGCUUCUCGCUCUGCAAGGAAACCAUCCACUCUGCCACCGGCGUCAUCAGAGGCGAUUCAAGUGACAAGGAUGACGACUGACGCCACGGAGGGAGCGGCGGCAUCAAUGCCGCACGCACCUAGCAAAGGCACCUUAACGGAGUCCGAAAAGCGUCGCCAGAAGACACUUUUCUUGGGUGAGUCGGAGCAGUUCGCCUUCGACUUUGGCGGCGCUGUAACGGAGAUCGCAGAAACCGUCUUUGAAGCCGACGCAGCGCAGCGGGCAGCACAACGGGUGGAGGAGCUAGAGGAUACUACUGCUCGUGUCCAUGCCGCGUCUGCUUCGAGCGUCACCGCGGCUCCACGGCUGCUGACGCUAGAGGAGCUGAAUGCAUAUGCGGCAGAAGCCAUGCAACAGGGUCCGCGGCGCUUCCUGACUCUGGCCAAGGCGGGGUCACGCAAGCGGGCCGCCACAACGACGUCCUCUGCCCAUGCGCCGCAGGAUGAGUCCGCAUCCGUCAGCUCCGCGCCAUCAGGCCCUCAGCGAGCGGGGGAUGAGAAUGGUGCUACCCUAGCGGAGGCUAUUCCACAGUUCCAGGCAGCCUUGCGUCGAUACGAGGCGGAUCUCUGGCGUGCACAUAAGCAGCGCCGUGAGGAGGACGCUCGGCAGCGCAGCAAGAACACGCGCAGCCAACACGCGUAGCUGUGUCUCCGUGGCCUCUUCGAGGAGCGCACUGGGCUGCCGUGCCUUCUUUGCUCGGCCUUUCUCUUUUUUUUUUUCGUCUCCUGCGAGUAGCGUGUGAAGCGGACGAGGCCGAGGAGGGGGGAGGGCAGAGAGGGAGCGACUCCGUGAGUUCCACCGUGGUACACGCCCUUCUCCCCCUCUCCUUCCAGUCCUGUCGAAAAGUACCUUCUCACGUGAUUGACAAGGGACCGAAGGUGCGGCACGGUUGCUUCUCUCGUAACAUAAACACGCACACACACACACACACACACACAGCAAAGAUGCGGAGGAACACAGAGAGUCGAAAGCGAGACACAGUUCUGACCAUGGGCGUGCUGGCGAGAGCGAGCGAGCGCGAGAUGAUAGUGGCCGCAGGCGCGGCGUGCCAGGUAACGCACACCACAGCAGUGGAGCCUGUGGCAGUAUCGCUCCAUGACCCGGCAUCCUCUUACCACCCCUACCCCCACCACACUGCCAUCUCCUCUCUCUUUGGUCUUUUUCGCUCGAUUUGUGGGCGACAGCAGGGGGAGGCGCGGCGGGGUGGCGGUGAAGAGGGCCGUGAAGGCCCAUCGAAAAGGUGGAGGCACCCGCACCUGCGAUGCACAGGGCCUGCACUGUCCCUUGUAUCUCUCUCUCUGUCUGUCUGCCUGUGUGCGCCAGGGGACCGCGCGGAGAGACGCAUACAAAGAUGCAUCUCUUCUCUUGCACACCUGCGAGAUGAACACACAGAGGCGAUUCCCCUCAUCAUUUUGCCCAUCUCUGCAGAGGCGCAUCCUUCGACACAGACGCACGCCCGCGAUCCAGUGACACUCCUCUCUCUCUCUCUCUCGCUCUUCUUCCCUCUGUCCUCUCACCACCACCACCACCACCACCUGCCGCUGCUGCUGCUCUUCCCGGUUUUCCAG